AUGAAUCUGGAGAGUUUGAUCCUGGCUCAGAACGAACGCUGGCGGCGUGCCUAACACAUGCAAGUCCAACGUGAAAGGGGAGCAAUCCCCCGGUAGGGUGGCAAACGGGUGAGUAAUACAUGGGUGAUCUACCUUAGGGAUGGGGAUAUCCUUCCGAAAGGAGGGGCAAUACCGAAUAUUGUCCGGAGCCGUGAAGGGUUCCGGGGAAAGGGAGGCCUCGUGAUACAAGCUUUCGCCUUAAGAUGA
rnacentral:rRNA from 1 species